UACGUAGGGUGCGAGCGUUAAUCGGAAUUACUGGGCGUAAAGGGCUCGUAGGCGGCCAACUAAGUCGGAUGUGAAAUCCCCAGGCUCAACUUGGGAACUGCAUCCGAUACUGGAUGGCUUGAAUUCGGGAGAGGGAUGCAGAAUUCCAGGUGUAGCGGUGAAAUGCGUAGAUAUCUGGAGGAAUACCGGUGGCGAAGGCGGCAUCCUGGACCGACAUUGACGCUGAUGAGCGAAAGCUAGGGGAGCAAACAGG
rnacentral:rRNA from 1 species